CUUAAUUUGGGAAACACAGUUUAUGUGAUGAACCACUACACAAGCGGCGUGAUCCUCUUUGGCAAGAGAGAAAUGAUCCGGAGACACAGUUUGUCAAAGGUAAACUUUGACAACUACAAAGCGAUCGUGUCAUUUGUAAAUAUCGGAAACAUACACUGGAAGUUUCUGUACAUCAAUGCAGCAGACAGUUGUCUGUAUUUGGUGGAUCCAACAAAAAAUUCAGCC